UACGUAGGGGGCAAGCGUUGUCCGGAUUUAUUGGGCGUAAAGAGCGUGUAGGCGGCCAUGCAGGUCAGCUGUGAAAACUCGAGGCUCAACCUCGAGACGUCGGUUGAAACCGCAUGGCUAGAGUCCGGAAGAGGAGAGUGGAAUUCCCGGUGUAGCGGUGAAAUGCGCAGAUAUCGGGAAGAACACCCGUGGCGAAGGCGGCUCUCUGGGACGGUACUGACGCUGAGACGCGAAAGCGUGGGGAGCGAACAGGA
rnacentral:rRNA from 1 species